rnacentral:lncRNA from 1 species
CCUCCUGUCUCAGCCUCCUGAAUGCUGCAAUUGUAGCUGUGUACCACUGUGCCCUCCUACUCCUCUUAUUAAUGAAGCUAUUUAUUCUCAGACAUUUGUUGUUCAAAUUCAUUUGUAAGCCCUUAGGUCUCCUCACCGUACACACACACAAUACUACAUUCUCACACUGUCACCCUAAUGUUUGUGAAAGUUCCCUGAUGCAUGGAUGAUUCUCCUCCUACACCUCGUAUCCCAACUGUUCAGCUGAUAGUUUGGUCCAGUCAGCUAGACCUUCAGGUGAAUUCUCCCCCAUUUUUCUAACCUGUUUUUCUUCCCUGAGUCAUGGUAAUCUCUUUACUGAUUUCCUUUCUCCUCCCUCCCAACAGAAAUUUCCACGCAGUAUCGGCAUGAUGGAGCUUGUCCAACAACUACGUUCUCAGAGUUGCUGAAUGCAAUACACAAUGGCUGGUCGUAACCCAAGGGUCCACUGUACUUCAGUGUACACAUUAAUGUCAUAUUGAAACAGGCUUUAAGUUUUGAGAUUGAAGGUCCCCUGUCACCACAAGAUUUACUUGUCAGUCUUACCCUUCCACGACCCGUCACUGCAUGUCGUGAUGUGUGAUGGGCGCCUUUGAAGAGCAUUAGGUAAGUUAGAGGGCGUGAUAGUUACAACACUAGACUUGUUUGACUUUACAGAUGAAACUUAAUUAGCACUUAAAAUACCGAACUCAGGUGGGGUAGGCAUUGCUAGAGCCUUUCAGUGGACGGUCUUAAAUUAAGGUACCUGUUAUUUUUGUUUUACAGAAAACAAUAUGGGUAGUUUUGUUUAAGGUAAUGCAGUUGGGAAAGUUAGGGUUUUGACCCAGGUUUGUCUGAGUCAAGGGCUUGUGUUGCUUUAAUUCAGCAGGCCGCCUCCAGCUUUUGUCUUUUACUUUUGAAAGUUGGAGACUUGAGUGUAGAUUUUUCACCAUCAAGAUAACUAGGCAGCCAACAUUUUACCUUUUAAGAUAGUUUGAGAAAACAGCUCAAGUAUUUCUGUAGCUCUCCGCCUGAAUCUUCCUCUGAUCUUAAAUUGCUCCUUAUUUCUGUACUUUUUGUGGUAUUGGGGAUUGGACCCAAAGUCCUGACACUGAGCUAUGUUUCACUUUAAGAAAACGUCUUGCCAAGUUUUCCAGGCUGGCCUUGACCUCGGCGACCCUUCUGCCUCAGUCUUCCAUGGAGCUGGGGCUGCAGGCGUGUGCUGCCGCGCCUGGCUCCUCUGUGCUUCUGCUCUACCUUACUGUGCCCACUGUCUUCCACUUGUGAGUACUGAUUGUCCCUCCAGUGAGACUCCCAAGUUCUUUCAAGACAGAAUUCUGGAUUGGUUCUUUUUUCCUCUCUUCAGUGCUUUUUUUAAAUAAUAAAAAGCGAAUAAAUAUUUGUUGAACGAACUAUCUGUAUAGCAACUUAAAAGAAUAUAUUCCUUUUUCUAAGCUGUGUGGUAGCCCCUAAGUUUCUUUCUUUGGUUCUCUUUCCUUGGUCAUGCGGAGAGCUUUUCCUGGGAGCUGUUGUUCUUGUUCCUUGGCUGUGGCCGGUGUCCAUAUCAGGAGUGUUGGCCCAAGCACUUCCUUGGGGCCAGGUGGUUACGGGAUCGGCGAGGGGAGUGACGCAGAGGCUGAUGGGAGUGUGGGAAGUACCUUACUUUUUGCACACCUCAGCAGACUGCUGCUGCUUCAGAACAUCAUAUCCAGUAUCCACAGAUCUCCAGAUUUUCAGGGGAAGUAGAAACCUAGACUGUUUCUUGUGACAUUUCUACCAUUUCUGAAUAUGAACACCAGGCUUCUGCUUAAAACUCUUUCAGUGGUUCCUGUUGUCUCCAAACUUUAAAAAUUUUUACCUUCUAAUGUUCUUUGGAUUUGGCUCUUGCUCAUCUUUUGCCUCAUCCUCAACACAGUUGAACUGAGAGACAGCAGGCCAGGCCUUGGGCUCCGCUGCCUUGGAGGCUUGCUUCUGCUCCAGAGCCGCCCUCCCUCUGCCCGUGCUGCUCCCGCGCCUCUCAUUUGCUCACCGCCGGUGG